AAUCCGGCAUGUUGGUCAGCUUUAGGGGCAUGUAGAGUUGGGUGUCAUCAGCAUAACAGUGAAAGCUAACAUGUAUGAUGUCACCUAGCGGCAGCAUGUAGAUGCUGAAGAGUGCAGGGCCAAUCUUUCAUCCUCGCUCAAAUUAAUGGGGAAAUUGUCGCUUUCUCGGUCCAAAUCACUCUAGCUGCUGGUGGCCAUGAUUGUAAACAAUGUUCAGAUGUGAGGAGCUCCACAACCCGUGACGUCACGCGCACAUCGUCUGCUACUUCCGGUACAGGCAAGGCUUUUUUAUUAGCGACCAAUAGUUGCAAACUUUAUCGUGGAUGUUCUCUACUAAAUCCUUUCAGCAAAAAUAUGGCAAUAUGGCGCAAUGAUCAAGUAUGACACAUAGAAUGGAGCUGCUAUCCCCCUUUAAAUAAGAACAUCUCAUUUCAGUAGGCCUUUAAGAGCAGGGACCAUCAUGAAAGAUAAGGAUGGUACAUUUCUACAUGAUAAGAUCUGCUACUGUCCUGGGUUCAAAUCCAGGCUCGGGAUCUUUCUGUGUGGAGUUUGCAUGUUCUCCCCGUGAAUGCGUGGGUUCCCUCCGGGUACUCCGGCUUCCUCCCACUUCCAAAGACAUGCACCUGGGGAUAGGUUGAUUGGCAACACUAAAUUGGCCCUAGUGUGUGAAUGUGAGUGUGAAUGUUGUCUGUCUAUCUGUGUUGGCCCUGCAAUGAGGUGGCGACUUGUCCAGGGUGUAGCCCGCCUUCCGCCCGAUUGUAGCUGAGAUAGGCGCCAGCGCCCCCCGCGACCCCGAAAGGGAAUAAGCGGUAGAAAAUGGAUGGAUGGAAGAUCUGCUACUAUGAAUAUUACUGAGUUACCUGUUACAUCUCAGGACAACAGGUGUGUACUUGUGGUUUAAAGACUACUUUACACGCUAUGUCAACCUUUUCCAGCGUGUCUUUACAGUAGCAAAAUGUAUGUUUGAGGACUAUAUCAGACAACAUGGGUUGCCAGAGUGUAGUCACACAGACCAGGUAGGCAAUUGGAGUCAGACCUUGUAAAACACUUUGGAAAACCUUGCUGGAAUAGUUACCUCUACUGCCCCCCAGUGGCCGUUAGAAAGGAUGCACACAUUUUGUGUUGAAGUCCUUAAAGCUGUCUUUCACUUUUUGUCUUGUCCUUUGUGUCCCAGAUGAAGUCGUGAGUGGCUCGGGGGAGGAUAGGCGGGACAUUAGCUUUUCUUUUUUACAAGAACUUUGCUGACAAAGUGCAAGUGUUUGUGGGCGUUACUGUACAUGUUGGUAUUGAUCACACCACCCAGUAAAUACAGGGAACGUUUUCAAAAUCAUUAAAUGAUUUUAGACUUUCAUUUUGUGAACAAUAUAAACAUAUAUUAAUAUAAACAUAUGGAGGAGUCAGAUGGGGUGGUUAGGGCAUCUGGUCAGGAUGCCACCUGAACGCAUAGGGAGGUGUUUAGGACACGUCUGACCGGUAGGAGGCCACCAGGAAGACCCAAGACACCUUGGGAACGCCUCGGGAUCCAGGAGCUGGACGAAGUGGCUGGGGAGAGCGAAGUGUGGGUUUCCCUGCUUAGGCUGCUGCCCCCGCGACCCGACCUCAGAUAAGCGGAAGAAGACGGAUGGAUGGAUGAAUAAACAUAUAUGAAUACAACAAUAGUCGUGUGGAGAGAGAGUUUGGCCAACCCGGGUUUGGAGUCAGUGUCUAACAAGGCGCCCUCUAGUCACCUGAGGGGAUUUGACCAACUAUUACAUCUUAUGCUGUUGCUAUGUACCUAUCUUUAAUGUUUAUAGUACACAAUGAAUCAUAUUUAGCUGUGAAAUGUGUGUUUUUUAUGAUGUUAGACGAUCUCUGAUUACAUCACUUGUCCAUGCCAGCUAACUUUCAUUUGUUGUCAUCUGCCUCUAUCUAGUGGACGUUUGUUGUACUGUUACUUAUAGAAUUCACCGGUAAAUAGUAGACAUCUCAUCUGUCACUGGUAUUUAGUCAUUAUAACAAUACAUACAGUGGUGUGUGACAAAGUUAAACUUAGAUUUAAGUCACAUGGAAUACUUAAUAAUCUGUGGUCCGUGAUAUGACAUUAUUAAGUUCAUUUAAUUCAUGCAUUUACAAUGUUUGUGUCCUACAGUUUCACCCUUUCAAUUGUCAAUCAACCUGGCCUCCAUCAGUCAACCUGGUGUUCAGAGGGAAUUAAAAAAAGGGAAUAAGCGGUAGAAAAUGGAUGGACAAGGUGUAUCGCCACAAUUUCAACCACUUCUGCCAUUGCAAUGAAUGACGCACGGGGGCGCCACUAACUCCCAUCGCAUCAUUUAUUUUUUAAAUGAUGAUAUUUUUUAAACCAAAUACUUACUGAAACCUAACAAAAAAUAUAUUUUACCUUUUCAGAAAUAAAUGAAUUAUUAUAAAAUAGUAAAAAAAAAAAUCGUUUUGUUUUCCAUUUAAGGCUGCUAGAUACAUCUUUAAGGUGUGCGAUUUCAUAAAGAACAACGUAUUUUUUAAUGUUUGUUUUGUAUGUAAUGGUUUAUGAUGACAUUGUUAUUGAAGUACAGAUGACACCAAAGAACGCGACCACCAAAAGGGGAAUAAGCGGUAGAAAAUGGAUCGAUGGAAGGACUAAAGAAGCAUGGGUCGCAAGGGGUGCUGGAGCCUAUCUCAGCUACAUUCGGGCGAAAGGCGGGGUAUAAACUGGACAAGUCGCCACCUCAUCACAGAGCCAACACAGAUAGACAGACAACAUUCACACACUAGGGCCCAUUUAGUGUUGCCAAUCAACCUAUCCCCACGUGCAUGUCUUCGGAGGUGGGAGGGGCCUAUCCCCAGGUGCAUGUCCUUGGAGGUGGGAGGGGCCUAUCCCCAGGUGCAUGUCUUUGGAGGUGGGAGGAAGCCAGAGUACCCGGAGGGAACCCACGCAGUCACGGGGAGAACAUGCAAACUCCACACAGAAAGAUCCGAACCCAGGACCUUGGCAUUAUGAGGCACACA